AGGAGACGAUCGCUCUCAGAGAGCCACGUGUUCAGAGGUAAGUUAUCCUGCACUAGACUACUAGUAGCUGAUGUAUACAGACUGCAUCUUAGACUUAAGAAACGUUUGAUACAUGUUCUUGUGCGUGGCUUGAAAAACCUAAACAGAAACGGACUAUUCUAAUUUAGUGUGUUAAACCUGGACCGCACCUUUUACUAAUUUUGUACAAUGUAUUUAUUAAAAAAGGAAACAUUUGGGGACCAGUCAUUCGCAAAAAAGUUGUUGCUUUUUCACCUGUAUAAUUGAUUUUCCGUGUGGCAAAACAAGUGUGCCGUGGAAAUUUGAAGGACGAUUUUAUAUAGCCUCACACAAAUAGUUUUAAAUCCAUUGGCACUGCUUCUUAAUAAUUACGUUGGAAACGUUUGGUUGUAGACACAUAACUUUCAGUGAAUUAGUUUAUCUCAAUGGCCUUUAUUCAUAUUCUCGGUUUAAUUUCGGAAAUAAAUUUAGUUCCGGGGGAAUUAUUACUUUGCUGUACAUCAACAACGCGAUAGCACUGUAACCAAAAAUAUAUAGUAACAACGACGAUACUAGCAUAAUAUUCAACGUAGUUUUACGUUUUAAAGUUUCACUUCAAUGGACAGCAUGAAUGUAAAUGAUGAGAUUGCUUUUCUGAUUUAAACGAGCCUAUAUGUCUUUGAUAAUCAUUUGACAGUCUGGUGUAACCGAUGUGCAAAAUGAGGCAAAUCUUCCUAAUAAAAUAAACAUAUAAUGUGUGUGACGUUCUUCAUAAUAGAUUACUGCUUUUUCAUUAAUGGUGUUAGUAGAUCUUAGAGAGGUUAUACUCUGUAAAAUUGAAACAUCUGUGUUGGCACCAUAGUUUCAAAGUACAGUAUAAAUCAUUAGAAAUUAAACGGGGUCAGUACACUCUAUACCACAAGCAAACAAGGUAAUGCAUUAUCUGGAACUGACACUAGAAUUCAUGGAAUUACUGAUCUGUAAAGCAGGCUACUGUGCACUACAUUAGUGUGAUAGCCACCACAGCUCAAUUUAAAAUACAAUUAACUUAGAAGUAUCUUGAGGAGCAUACAUAUUUGGGAGCUUUUCAUAGCACUGAAAUGGAGAAUAAUACAACAAAUGUAAAACCGACCAUUAGUUGGCUUACAGGGAAGCAUUUAUGCAGCGACAUUCCUCUGCCUUUAUGAAAAAGUAGCCUAGAUCAAACAUUAUUAUUAAAUUGUAGAUUACACUGACUUUAUUUUUAAGUAUAUUUAAGUAGGCUGGUUUAUAAAACUAAAUUGGCCAAUUUUAAGUAUUUCCUAUACCUAAAGUAGCCUAUUUUCUUAAAUUAUAUUGGCAUACCAUCUUUGAACUACUUUUAAACUUUGUAUCCUAAAUUGGUAGACUUUAAAUAGGCCUAAAUUUACUAUUGGUAUGUGAAGUGAAAGCGCACUUUAAGUACACUACCUGGGAUUUAAUUCUGAAAAAGUAUUUGUCUUGUGUACAGCUUAAACAACUCUCAUCACAAAAAAUCAGACUGUUUAUUUUUUCUGCUUCCUAAUGUAAUUGUGUUAAGAAAGAAUGGCAUCCAGUGAACAAAAUAAAAAAUUUGCUAUACAUCGUCUACUGAUUUGUCUGUGAACAUGACUACUGUAGGCGAUGGCCUUAAAAUGUUACUAGCAUUGCUUAGCUUCACAUCGUUAAGGAUAGGUGUGCCUGUUGAUGACUUAUGUUAUGCUCAUACAAACAAAAGCAUAUGACUAGGUUACUGAUCUUAUCAGGACAAGAUUAGAUACAAGUGUUAGAUUCCAAUUUGAUAUAGAUGUUCAUAAGCUUUAACACAUGCUCCAUAACUGAAGGAUGACCUAAAGGUAGAUUAUUUGGUGAUACGUUUUUCGCAUGGGAAAGCUUACCGGUCCACUGGGCUUUCUGUUAUGAUAAGAAUAAAGUUGGACUAUUCUAGAAGUUAUGAACCCUUGCGGACAACAGUGCCACCUUGUGCCUUCUCGUAACAUUAGUUUUUUUUACCGGAGCUGGAAUGUCCCGUGCUUCCCAGGGAGGCGUUUCGAUUGGGAGUCCUAUAGUUAUUUCCUUAACUCAGUCAUUCAGUCAACUAACUUGGAAGGUGACAGUCGCCUGAUUAUUAAUAGGAUAUGCCUCCGCCGCGCAACACAACCGCUUAUCAGGGUCUGCAGCCACAAAAUGGAACGGAACAGGGUCAGAGUGAAGAAGUCCUCCUGCUUGUAGCUUUGCUUCUCAUCUAUGUGGUAUUUGGACUCCUACUCAUACUGCACACCGGCUGGAAUAUCGUUGUGGAAGCGACACAGCAAAGAGGUGCAACAGAGCCCCCCUUGUCAGUGGAGGAGACCAACCCUCACCGUGGUCCAUAUGAAUCGACGUAUGAUUAAGGAUCGGCAGGGAUUUGACUGGUGAACAGCCGAUGACUUGUGUGUGAUGUCACUCUACUCUUCAGAUUCCAUAUGCGCAUUCAAUUGCGUUCUGUGCUUUGACUGGAAAAGGACCCUGUGACAUCAAGUGAAUCGGCGAAUCAAAAGAUUUUUCACAUUCCGACCUGUUGGCGGGGGGGGGGGGGGGGGGGGGAGCCAACAACCUGACUCAGAGGGAAUAGUUCAUGAAGCGCCCCAGAGAGACUGUACUCUGAUCGUGGAGGACAUUUCGAAAGUGAAGUUACUACAGUGUUUCGUAAGCAUUAGGGGGUGAAGAGGACACAUACUACUCCCCACCACCUACAGGGAAAACCUUGCUGUGAAAGCUUCAGUAGGGUGCUUUAUGAUCUUCUGCGCACUUUGUCUCCUGAGAAGAAGCCCUGUUGGCCCCAGCACCUGCCAGGGGUUAGCCUUCGCUUACAAUUUAACGCCCCGUACCGCCACGGGAUACUCGCUUUUAUGGGGCAGUUUACAGAAGUGUGCCCCUUAUCAGACC